GAGAGGCAUGGUCCAAGGAACAGGAAGUGGAGAAAGGCAUUAAAAAUUUGACCUACAUUGAAAGACUGAAGGAGCGUGUCAAGAAAGUGAAAAUACCAGAGCUCAGGAGAGCCCCACACAGCUCUCCAGAUCUUGUGCCUGACAGGAAGAGAACGAUGCCCAGAACCCUGCAAAAUACAUCCAGAGACUUUUCAGUGCUGUUUCUCAACGACCCAUCAGAGACAGGGUGAUUCAUUUACUGGCUCUGAAGAAUUACAAGAAGUCAGAGCUACUUACCUGCUUAGAGAGAGAGGGAGUUGUGGAAAAGGACAAGGAGUCCCUUGGAAAGAUCCUUCAGGAGGUAGCCAACCUGGAUGCAAAUGAGAAUUCUUUCAGUCUGAAGGAACAUUUCUUCAAAGACAUUCAGGUUGAUUGGCCUGGCUACAGUGAAAGAGACAGAAAGACAUUGGAGGUGACCCUUUUUCAGUAAGUUCAGCCAGGACAACAACCAUUUCAAAAAAACCCUCUAGGAAGUGAAGGUCUGUUUUUGCUGUGAGGAAAGAACAAGGAUUGUUGAUAUUUUUGCCUUGUAACCUGAAAUGCUGGACCAUCCUUAAAGAAAAACAGGUCCAUCUCCAAAUGCCACCAGCACCAGCCAGUCACUGUCUCUGGGACGUUCUGAAAGAAACACUCCACCGAGAACUGCUCAGAAACGGCCUCUGGCUUCUGCCUUUAUCCAUCCUGUGAUGACAAAGAAACAGAGGAUUGACCAAGAGCCCUAUG